CUAAAGGGCAGCACUCUAUUCUCUCCUCCAGCUCUGCUUCACUCCACCUUGUUUGAUUGCUAUUUCCUAUCCUGUUGGGUUUUACACCCCACCUCCUAUAGACUGUAUAUUUGUUUGAGCAGGGCCCUCUUCAACCUAUUGUUCCUGUAAGUUUUUGUUAGACAUGUGCAAUUCGUUUCGUUCGGAAUGUAAAUUCUGAUGAAUUUCGUCAAUUCGGACAUUCGGAUGCUUCCG